rnacentral:rRNA from 1 species
UACAGAGACUGCAAGCGUUAUUCGGAUUCACUGGGCGUAAAGGGUGCGCAGGCGGUUGGGUGUGUCAGAUGUGAAAUCCCGAGGCUUAACCUCGGAACUGCGUCUGAAACUACUCGACUAGAGUACUGGAGAGGGAAACGGAAUUCACGGUGUAGCAGUGAAAUGCGUAGAUAUCGUGAGGAACACCAGAGGCGAAGGCGGUUUCCUGGACAGUUACUGACGCUCAGGCACGAAAGCAUAGGGAGCAAAGGGG